rnacentral:rRNA from 1 species
AACGAACGCUGGCGGCAUGCCUAACACAUGCAAGUCGAACGAGACCUUCGGGUCUAGUGGCGCACGGGUGCGUAACGCGUGGGAACCUGCCCUUAGGUUCGGAAUAACUCCCCGAAAGGGGUGCUAAUACCGGAUAAUGUCUUCGGACCAAAGAUUUAUCGCCUUUGGAUGGGCCCGCGUUGGAUUAGCUAGUUGGUAGGGUAAAAGCCUACCAAGGCGACGAUCCAUAGCUGGUCUGAGAGGAUGAUCAGCCACACUGGGACUGAGACACGGCCCAGACUCCUCCGGGAGGCAGCGUGGGGGAAUAUUGGACAAGGGGCGAAAGCCUGAUCCAGCAAUGCCGGGUGGGGGAUGAAGGCCUUAGGGGUUUAAAGCUCUUUUACCCGGGAUGAAAAGGACAGUACCGGGAGAAGAAGCUCCGGCUAACCCCG